rnacentral:rRNA from 1 species
AGAGUUUGAUCCUGGCUCAGGAUGAACGCUGGCGGCGUGCUUAACACAUGCAAGUCGAACGAACCUUCGGGUUAGUGGCGGACGGGUGAGUAACGCGUGGGAAUCUGCCCUCAGGAGGGGGAUAACGGCUGGAAACGGCCGCUAAUACCCCAUAUGCCGAGAGGUGAAAUGAAUUUCGCCUGAGGAUGAGCCCGCGUCUGAUUAGCUUGUUGGUGAGGUAAUGGCUCACCAAGGCUUCGAUCAGUAGCUGGUCUGAGAGGAUGAUCAGCCACACUGGGACUGAGACACGGCCCAGACUCCUACGGGAGGCAGCAGUGGGGAAUUUUCCGCAAUGGGCGAAAGCCUGACGGAGCAACGCCGCGUGAGGGAUGAAGGCCUCUGGGCUGUAAACCUCUUUUCUCAAGGAAGAAGAUCUGACGGUACUUGAGGAAUAAGCCACGGCUAAUUCCGUGCCAGCAGCCGCGGUAAUACGGGAGUGGCAAGCGUUAUCCGGAAUUAUUGGGCGUAAAGCGUCCGCAGGCGGCCUUUCAAGUCUGCUGUUAAAACGUGGAGCUUAACUCCAUCAGGGCAGUGGAAACUGUUGGGCUUGAGUGUGGUAGGGGCAGAGGGAAUUCCCGGUGUAGCGGUGAAAUGCGUAGAUAUCGGGAAGAACACCAGUGGCGAAGGCGCUCUGCUGGGCCAUAACUGACGCUCAUGGACGAAAGCCAGGGGAGCGAAAGGGAUUAGAUACCCCUGUAGUCCUGGCCGUAAACGAUGAACACUAGGUGUCGGGGGAAUCGACCCCCUCGGUGUCGUAGCCAACGCGUUAAGUGUUCCGCCUGGGGAGUACGCACGCAAGUGUGAAACUCAAAGGAAUUGACGGGGGCCCGCACAAGCGGUGGAGUAUGUGGUUUAAUUCGAUGCAACGCGAAGAACCUUACCAGGGUUUGACAUCCUGCGAACCUCUAAGAAAUUGGAGGGUGCCUUCGGGAACGCAGUGACAGGUGGUGCAUGGCUGUCGUCAGCUCGUGUCGUGAGAUGUUGGGUUAAGUCCCGCAACGAGCGCAACCCACGUUUUUAGUUGCCAGCAUUUAGUUGGGCACUCUAGAGAGACCGCCGGUGAUAAACCGGAGGAAGGUGUGGACGACGUCAAGUCAUCAUGCCCCUUACAUCCUGGGCUACACACGUACUACAAUGCUACGGACAAAGGGCAGCAAACUCGCGAGGGCAAGCAAAUCCCAUAAACCGUGGCUCAGUUCGGAUCGUAGGCUGCAACUCGCCUACGUGAAGGAGGAAUCGCUAGUAAUCGCAGGUCAGCAUACUGCGGUGAAUACGUUCCCGGGCCUUGUACACACCGCCCGUCACACCAUGGAAGUUGGCCACGCCCGAAGUCGUUACUCCAACCCUUGUGGAGGAGGACGCCGAAGGUGGGGCUAAUGACUGGGGUGAAGUCGUAACAAGGUAGCCGUACCGGAAGGUGCGGCUG